GUGGGGAAUAUUGGACAAUGGGCGAAAGCCUGAUCCAGCCAUGCCGCGUGAGUGAUGAAGGCCUUAGGGUUGUAAAGCUCUUUCAGUAGGGAAGAUAAUGACGGUACCUACAGAAGAAGCCCCGGCUAACUUCGUGCCAGCAGCCGCGGUAAUACGAAGGGGGCUAGCGUUGUUCGGAUUUACUGGGCGAAAAGCGCACGUAGGCGGUUUGGUCAAUUAGAGGUGAAAUCCUGGAGCUCAACUCCAGAACUGCCUUUAAUACUGCCAGUCUAGAGUCCAGAAGAGGUGAGUGGAACUCCUAGUGUAGAGGUGGAAUUCGUAGAUAUUAGGAAGAACACCAGUGGCGAAGGCGGCUAACUGGUCUGGUACUGACGCUGAGGUGCGAAAGCGUGGGGAGCAAACAGGAUUAGAUACCCGAGUAGUCC
rnacentral:rRNA from 1 species